AAAUAAUUUCCUAAAAAUGAUUAAAAAUAAUAAAAUGGUGAUUUCUAGUCGUGUGGGGUCCACCUAGAGCGGAUGGAGUGCUUUAGAUGCAAUUCCCGAGGUAGAGGAGGCGGAACAUCAAAGUGGCAGUGGGUGAAUUCGAAAUUGGUGUCAUUUCGAAGUGGAUUUCGAAUUCAUAAGUUGAAUAGAUGCAAUUCUCGGGGUAGAGGAGGCGGAACAUCAAAGUGGCAGUGGGUGAAUUCGAAAUUGGUGUCAUUUCGAAGUGGAUUUCGAAUUCAUAAGUUGAAUUUCGAAAUCAUAAGUUGAAUUUCGAAAUCAUUUC
rnacentral:lncRNA from 1 species